CAUUGUGCUUGAGCUCCUACUAUUCUCUCAGAUGUAUUGUUUAUUUACAGCUAUUCUGUCUCUUUGAAAACAAGCUCCCAAGGGUUACAUUUCAGCAGAGCCAGGAUUAUGCCUGUAGCCAAAAGGGCUCAAGGACAGUAGCCAUUUUAUUGUGGGCAUGUCAUUUUCAGACUUAAAAAGGUGUGAUACAGAAGGGGUUAUACUGCUCUAUAUUCUCCCUUGUAUCUCAUUUCCUGUCUCUAACUGCAUGCUCAUCUUGUGUGUAGAUCAUGGUCUUCAUUACUUUCUCCUCUUAUUGUGUAGUCACAUUGCUGCAUGUUCAUGACCACAACAUAAUAAAUAAUUGAAAAUAAGCAAAUAAACAAAUAAAUAAAUAUAAAAAUUCCAGAAAGGUAUUCACUUUAAAUGUGGGAAUGUGAAGGUUUGUGUCUGUGAGUUCUUUAGAAGUGUUUUUUUUUUUUUUACGUGGUUCAUGAGAAGAAACUUUAACCACACCAGUGUCUGAUCACAGCUCUAUUAAAAGAAUGAGACACAUCCGCUAACAAAACCAGCCAGCGCUGCAGGGCUAUACCUCUUUGAGAAAGAGCAGGGGAGAGAAAGCUCAACAUGUAUGAGUUCACCACAAAAACAGUUAGACUGGUUGUCCUGAUGUUCUUUGUACAAGAGGCAGCUCUACAAUCUCCUGUGCUAACCCUGAACCCUGCAUGGACAAAGUUCUACCCCACUGAGAAAGUGACUCUCAAAUGUGAAAUUGAGUCCAGUCAGACUGAGUGGAGUUAUCUGUGGUACA